GUCCCCCUCCCUCGUCAGCCCAAAGAGCAACCAGGGUUCCCUGCCCUGUGGGAAGUCCAAGGACCACCCACCUCCAUCCAGGUCUAAUAAGGUGAGCAUCCAAACUGCCUAGGCUCCCACAAAACCAAUAGGUGCAGUAGGAUCAAAAACCCAUUGCCAUUGUUCUUGGGGUCUCAGUUUUUUUUUCUUCUUACUCUGUUUUUCUUUAUUUUCUUUCAAAUAUGGUACAUUUUAAUUUCCUGAAAUAAGUUUAGGAGAAAAAGCAAGAAACAUUCUAUAGAUUUUAGUUUUCUUUUUAACUUUGAAAGCUCGAGGUUAAAAAUAUAACUAUUAUAAGUUAUAUUUCUAUCUCAAUUGUUCUUUCUAUCUUCUGAAAUAACUACCUUUGAUGAGAUUAUGGAUUCCUUGACACUGGUGACCAUGCAAUGGUUCAUAAUAGCCUGUGAUAGAUGAUUGUUUCAGACAUGACAGGACCAGUUUGUUAACUUGUUUGUGCCAUGAAAUCUCACAAUAAUUACACUAUAAAAACUACAACUGAUUUGUAUUUCCAAGCCGGGCAGUGGUGGCACACGCCUUUAAUCCCAGCACUGGGGAGGCAGAGGCAGGCGGAUCUCUGCGAGUUCGAGGCCAGCCUGGUCUACAAGAGCUAGUUCCAGGACAGGCACCAAAAACUACAGAGAAACCCUGUCUCGAAAAUCAAAAAAAAAAAAAAAAAAAGAUUUGUAUUUCCCUCAAAAGCUAGUUCUUAAUAUCACACCACAAGAUGCCUAUAUCCCCAAUAUUUAGUGCCACAAAUACAGAAUGAAGUUAGAAUUAGAAACCAAGAGCUAGUAAAGGAGCCAGAUAAUGCAAGUUAAGUCAUUUACUGAGAUAACUGAGAUCUUACAUUACUUUGUAAACAUAUUCCUUGGCUCUUAAUCAUUUGCAUUUUGUAAAGACUUUUUUUUCCUACUUUAAGGAUGUCUACUUUUGUGGAACCCUCACCCCUUAUUCUCAAAGGGACUAGAAUUUCCUAGCAGAAUGUUUUCCCAGGAAGAUAGUGGCCUUCCCCUCUCCCACCCGAGAGAUUCCGAGCACAAGGUCACUUAGCCCAGCCAGUCAGCUACCUGGUACAGGCUGAUAAAGAUGGCCUGACUCAGGAAUGGCCUUGCUCUAAAAACAAGGAGAAAGCUGACUUAGCAGGAUGGGAAGGAGCAAAAGUCCUUGCACCCUUGCCAAAGCACCUUCUCAAAGCCUCUUUGUAGUUAUACCUUUAAAAGCCUACCCCACAGAGGAGAUACAAGCUGGAGAUGAGAUCCAAACAUGUUUGUAUUGUGCUGAUUAAACCUUGCUUAUUACAGUCUGGGCCUCUCUGUGUGGUCUCUCUCUGGGGGUCAUAAUCUGGGCACAACACUUUCAUGUAACUGUUGUGGGAAAGAGAAGACAUCGUUUAUAUGUACUUGCUGCUGCUUGCAACAAAGUUCAUAUCCGGUAGACCAAUUGCCUGUCUGAAGCUUGUCACUGAGAGUUUCCAUUCCUAGACAACAAAGCCUAUUUUAAAGUAGUGUGAAUGCUGUAAGUGGUGUACAUGCCUGUACUUUCAAACUUAAUCCAUAGUUCCCUUGUGAGACACUUAUCCUUGGCUCAUAUUCAUAAUCUCAAUUUCAUUAAUUUUGAUAGGAAAAGGUUUUUUUUGACUCAGCAACUAUUUUUUGUGUGUAUUUCAGUGUAAAUAUAUUUUGAAGUUACUGUGAAUCUCUAUUUAAAAAUUCUAUUCCUGUAAUUGUAUGCUAAACUUCUUUUCCUAUUUCGAAAAUAAACUGAAAGAUGUGAAGAAAAAUA